GACGAACGCUGGCGGCGUGCCUAAUACAUGCAAGUCGAACGCAGUGGGGACGGGUGAGUAACACGUGGGUAACCUCCCAUCAGAUGGGAUAACACUUGGCAACAGGUGCUAAACCGAUCCUGAUGUAUGGACCCGCGGUGCAUUAGCUAGUUGGUGAGGUAACGGCUCACCAAGGCCAAGAUGCAUAGCAGAGCGGAGAGGGUGAUCGGCAACACGGGGACUGAGACACGGCCCAGACGCCGACGGGAGGCAGCAGUAGGGAAUCUUCGGCAAUGGACGAAAGUCUGACCGAGCAACGCCGCGUGAGUGAAGAAGGUUGUCGGAUCGUAAAACUCUGUUGUUAGAGAAGCGGUAUCUAACCAGAAAGCCACGGCUAACUCCGUGCCAGCAGCCGCGGUAAUUC
rnacentral:rRNA from 1 species